CCUACGGGAGGCAGCAGUGAGGAAUAUUGGACAAUGGGUGAGAGCCUGAUCCAGCCAUCCCGCGUGAAGGACGACGGCCCUAUGGGUUGUAAACUUCUUUUGUAUAGGGAUAAACCUACCCUCGUGAGGGUAGCUGAAGGUACUAUACGAAUAAGCACCGGCUAACUCCGUGCCAGCAGCCGCGGUAAU
rnacentral:rRNA from 1 species